rnacentral:rRNA from 1 species
GUCCGAGUUGUAAUUUAGAGAAGUGUUACCCGCGUUGGACCGUGUAUAAGUCUCCUGGAAUGGAGCGUCAUAGAGGGUGAGAAUCCCGUCUUUGACACGGACUACCAAGGCAUUGUGGUGCGCUCUCGAAGAGUCGAGUUGUUUGGGAAUGCAGCUCUAAAUGGGUGGUAAAUUCCAUCUAAAGCUAAAUAUUGGCGAGAGACCGAUAGCGAACAAGUACCGUGAGGGAAAGAUGAAAAGAACUUUGGAAAGAGAGUUAAACAGUACGUGAAAUUGCUGAAAGGGAAACGCUUGAAGUCAGUCGCGUUGACCGGGGAUCAGCCUUGCUUUUGUGAGGUGUACUUCCUGGUUGACGGGUCAGCAUCAGUUUCGACCACUGGAAAAAGGCUUGGGGAAUGUGGCACCUUCGGGUGUGUUAUAGCCCCUUGUUGUAUACAGUGGUUGGGACUGAGGAACUCAGCACGCCGCAAGGCCGGGUUUCGACCACGUUCGUGCUUAGGAUGCUGGCAAAAUGGCUUUAAUCGACCCGUCUUGAAACACGGACCAAGGAGNCUAACAUGCCUGCNAGUGUUUGGGUGGAAAACCCGAGCGCGUAAUGAAAGUGAAAGUUGGGAUCUCUGUCGUGGA